rnacentral:misc_RNA from 1 species
AGAAGGCAAAAGAAUGGGUGG